rnacentral:lncRNA from 1 species
CUUCUGGGGGUGGAGUGGGGGGAACGGGGACUGUUAAAUUAUCAGUGAUCAGCUGUUGCCUUUUUUGCUACAUUUCCUCUCCAAGUUGCUAUUAGAAAAACCAUCCUGGGGUCCCCGAGCCCAGGGUCCAGAGUGAACACAGCCUUCCUUGCCUCCCCGAGAGCAAGGAAGAAACCCCUCCAGUUUUCUGAAAUUAGGGCCCAAAGAGGAAAAGGGGACAUGAGCAAGUUCUGUGCAUCGGCUGCAAGAUAAGAAAGACGACCGAUAAUCCCAACGUUUUGGGAGGCCAAGGCGGGCGGAUCACCUGAGGUCGGGAGUUCCAGACCAGCCUGGCCAACAUGGUGAAACCCCGUCUCUACUAAAAACACAAAAAUUAGCUGGGCGUGGCGACGCCUGCCUGUAAUCGCAGCUACUCAGGAGGCUGAGGCAGAUCACCUACACCCGGGCGGCAGAGGUUGCAGUGAGCCGAGAUCGCGCCAUUGCACUCCAGCCUGGGCAACAGGAGCGAAACGCCGUAUCAAAAAAUAAAAAUAAAAAAAGAAGAAAGAAAGAAAGAGGACAGAGAGGGCAAGGACACCACAGACAGGAGGAGAGGAGUCCAGCUCACUCCCCCUGGCUGGUUGGGUGGUGUGUUCUGCGAGUGUGACCCAUGUUGGCCAACAGAGGACAGCAAAAUACAUUUUUUAUGAUCCUGGGAGGUUCAGGCCAGUCACGUUUUCGCGCAGAGAGGCGGGGCGGUGGAGAGGGACAAGUCAUGUCUCAGUUAUGUGGAUUCUCUUUGCGAAAGAGGGGCCACUUCUGCAAUGGAUUUGGGGGUCCCUGGGCAGGCGUGUGGGUGGGGCAGAUUUUAGGAAGGGGAUGAGCUGCUGUGGGGGCGUCUCCCUUACUGCGGGAAAUGGAAAGUAUUACAGCUAUGGCUGGUGAGAGUGUCAGUGCCAGAGGCCAGGUCUUUGCCAGGUGGAGAGGACACCCUUAUGCCCUACCCCCAAGUUCCAGCACCUCUCCAAGAGCCCUUGGCCCCGGAAGCAGCAACAAAGUGACACUGGACUGGGGAGGAGGAAGCACAACUUUAUUUUCUGGCCCGAAGUAUUCCUCGGGGGUCCCUGGGCCAGAAAGACAUCAGCUCGGAGUUCCUCCAGCAACUCAAAGAAGAGAGAAAGCUGAUCCCCAAACUCUCCCGCUAUAGCGCCUUCUGGGUCCCGGGUGGAUGCCUCUUGUGCUGAGAACUGGUUAUCGCUCUGAAAAACUGAAAGACGCCAUGCGCAGACACUGGUUGCUAAACGUGCUUUUGCCCUCCAGGGGCAGACACUGAGAUCCGGCCUGGGAAAGCCGUCCAGCUGUCAGCGUCAGCGUUUGCUCUGGGGGGUUGGUUGUCGGGGGAGGUAGGGAAAGUGAAAAGAAACAAGUGUUACCUGUUUGACGAGGCCUGGUCCUUGCAGCCAGGGCCUCCGGGAUCAUCGCCUUGGCAGGGGGCCCU